AAAAUGAUGAUUACCAGAGAGGAGGUGGGUGGGGGCAUGGGUAAAACAAGUGAAGUGCGUUAAGAACACAUUUAUCAUGAUGAGCACUGAAUGACAAAAUGACAAAGAGUUCCACACACAGACAUCUGGACUAGACUAACAGCUUUCUGGUAUAUAGCAGCCAUAGAGUAGAAUCUCUAAAAUCUUGGAAAUGAUAAAUGGAAAUCCUUGGAAACUUGAUCCUCAAAAUGAACAUAUAAUCAUGCAGCAACCUGGGACCUGUGUGUUCCUUGUGGUGUAACUAAAACUUUGAAGAAGUAGGCAAAGGUCAGGUAUGAAGGGAUUCAAAUUCCUUACUUAGGAAACUGAUUAAAGAACUGUUGGAAGAUACAGAGUGUAAAAGUCUUAAAGAAUCAUCUCAGAAGCAGUGCACUAGUUGCAACAUGAAAAGUGAAUUUCAGGAAGAACAAAUAAAGUGGGAGAGUGGGCAUUAUAGGAACACAAGUAAGAAAUGAGAAUCUACAGAAAAAGACUGGAACUGGUGACUGAGAUACCUGGGUGACAUUCAGAGCUAUCAAGAAAGUACAACUGACCAACAGAAUCAAGGAUAAUGCUAUCAUUUCUACUUCUGCAACUGGGAGUAUAGUUGAAUGCACUAUUACCUAAAAUGUACUGCAGAAGGAAGUGAAGAUCCUCAGCUUCUUUCAGAGAUUUCAUCUUAUGUUUUUAUUUUCAUCCUUGCAUUUGUAUAGUUCAUUAGAAUUUUCAAACUAUUCUCAAAGAUAGUGUCAAAGCCAGCAAUUGAACUAAGACUUUGCUCCAAUCUUUGUUUUCUUUUAAAUAAAAAUCAUUACCCUCUAUUUUA